UUACACUUAGAACUCGGCCGAGUCGUCUCGGAGACACCACGGUGCUCUUGGCCUCGCACCCACCUGCGUUCUCCCCCUCCUCCCCCUCUCCUUCCCCAAUCCUAACCCUAAAUUUUGCGCCUCCUCCAAUCCAUCCAUCCAUCCGCCAUGACGAAUCACAACAGCAAGAAGCGCAGGCGACCCCUGAAGACCAAGAAAAGUAAGAAGAAACCCCCGGCGCUGCGGCCGCAGAACGCGAACCCCGCCCAAGACGACGAUCCCGUCCUCUUCGGCGGCACCACCGACGAGGACCGACCCUCUGCCGCUCCCAACUCCGAAGUGAUCCAGGACCUCCUCGAGCUCUGCACCAAGGAGCAGCUGAUCGGCUUCCUCCUUGACGCCGCUGCCACCGACUCCGGCCUCCCCGCCUGCAUCCGCGCCGCAGCCGACCGCGACGUCUCUCACCGCAAGGUCUUCGUCCACGGCCUCGGCUGGGACGCCACCCGCGACGCCCUCCUCGAGGCCUUCGGCACCUACGGCCCCGUCGAAGACUGCAACGUCGUAAUCGACAGAGCCACCGGCUGCGCCAAGGGCUACGGCUUCGUCCUCUUCCGCACCCGCGCCGGCGCUGUCGAGGCCCUCAAGCAGCCGCAGAAGAGGAUCAGGAACCGACCCGUGUUCUGCCAGUUCGCUGCAGUCGGCCCCGCCUCGACCGGAGACACGGCCGGGAGGAAGGUUUACGUGAGCAACGUGCCCGCGAACGCAACCCUGGAUAAACUGAGGUCGUUCUUCUCUCGUUUCGGCGAGAUCGAGGCGGUGCCUUCUGGUUUCGACAUGCUCACGGGGAAGUGGAAGGGUUAUGCCAUCUUUCUCUACAAGAAACUGGAGGGAGCUAGGAAGGCGCUCGAGGAGCCCUACAAGGUGUUCGAGGGCCACCGGCUGCACUGUCAGCCGGCUGCCGAGCCUUCCCAAAGAGGGAAAGCACCAGCUCCGUCCACCAACACUGCUUCCUCGGUCGCUUUGUUGGGACCGGCCCCGCAGCCGGUGCUGGCGGCCGUGGCGGCUACGCAGAAUCUUAUGUUGUACCGCCAGAACCCCGCAUACGCGGCACUGCUGAGGCGUAAUCCGCUUCUGGCAGCCGCGGCCCUCGAUCCUGCUGCAGCUGCAGCGCUUAACCCAGCGGCGGGAGCAGGAUUGCUUUCGCCUCCGGGACAGGGACUGAGGGGAGUGGGGUUGGCAAGCGGAGCUCCUUCGCUCCUUGGGCCAUAUGGUUCUCAAGGAGCGACAGGUUUGCAUGGUAUGCAAUUGCACCAGGUGUCUCAGCUCCGGCAGUCAUCACCCACAAGGCUUAGCGGCUAGCUGGUUCUCCUGAGGAUUUACUUCACAUCUCUGGUAACUGAUGUUUUCUUGAUUUUUCUUCAAAGAUUUUGUGUGUUACCUCUCUCUCUCUCUCUCUCUCUCUCUCUCUCUCUCUCAAUCUCCAUUCUAUUUAUUUUAUAUGUGCCUUUUAAGGGGCUUAGCUUCUUGUAUCAGAAACAAGAAGGUACAAACCUUUUGUUGUUUGUUUUUCUUUUGGAUAUUUAAAUUAGACCAUACAAAAGAAUUUUUGUUUCAGUAAUUUUUUUUCGGUUAAGGAUUACUAAUUUCAAAGACAUAAUAUUAGCCAUCACAUUCAGCCGUCCUUUUUUUCCCUUCUGUUUGAUAAUUGUGAAGAUAUUGAAGCUGGUUUGUUUUCUGAAACCUAAAGACCUACUACAGUUUAAUUCAAGGAAAUUAUAUUAGUUGGGGCACUGUUACACCCAAUUGAGAAUUAAAGUGUUUGAUGCUUUUCAUUUGGAAGAUGGUUAGAAGAUUUCCAGAAGGCUUCCAUGGAGCCUCAUCUUGUUGAGUUGCUGCAGGACUUUCUAGUUCCUAGUAGCAAAGCACAUUCUGGGCAUACACAUUGUAAUGUGGUAAUCAACCAUACAUAUAGCGAUGCACACCCUAGAGUAUGGGUCUAACUUAAUCCGCUUGAAAAACAAAAAGGUUUGUGUGUAAAUUUAGUUUGUUGUUCAGAUGUGGACCCUUGAUAUGCCUGGUAAGAUCAUCUAUAACGAGUGCAAAAAGAUAAUGGUGAUGCAACUUUUACCUUGUUAACACACGUUGGACGGUGAUAUCUGAGGUCAAGUGGGUAGUGUGUGUUUAAAACCCACUGAAAACAUCAGGUGUGUGGGUGUACAUUGGGCAUGUUACCAGAAUGCCUGAUAUUUUCUACUUGAUUUAGCUCCAAAUCCCUUUAAAGUAAAGUAAGUAGGGACUGAACCAUAAUAUAUACCUGAAGACCCAAGUGGGUGUAUCUUUUGGUGGGUGGUAACUGGUCAGAUCCCAAGCGAAUUUUAUGUUUAAUCGAGAGUGAUGACUUAGAAUAUAGUAUCACUAUGUUAUCAUUAAUAUGCUGACAUCUUGUAGUUUAUUGUUUAUAUAAGUUAUAAUUAACUAGUUAUGGUGAAACUAAUACAUGUGUAUGUUUAUAUAUACCCUGUUCAAAGUAAAAUAAAGUUAUCAGCUGCAUAAUUUCCUAAACCACUGAAAAAUUCCCCCUAGUCUAGCCAAAAUGGCCAAAGUUAUUGAAACUACUUUUUAUCAGUGAAAAAGUUACUGUAUAGAACUCUGAAAAUUAAAAUUCUAAGUUGAGCUGCCAACUAGUUUCUAAAGAACUAUUAUAUAAUAGUUCGAGGCAUGUGAAAUAGUUGUGAAUACUUUGUUUUUAGUACCUUAGUUGAUGAAGAUGAGCAAUUCUGCUCUAGAAUAUGAUUGGUAAGAAUUUCAAAUCCUUGUAUCAUUUUUUUAUACAAUGAUUCUUUACUUUUUAAUAUCUAUGAAUUUUUAAUGAAUGUCCUUUUUCUAUCAUUUCUUUCUACCUAUUAUGUAGUUUAACCAUGUGGCGUUUGCUCUUUUCCCCUCUGUUCUAUUUGUUUAUUGUGGAAUAUUGGCUUUUAGCCAUGCUAUUUACCAUAUCAGAACAUAAUCAGUAUGUGCAACAAUUAUGAUUCAUUUCUUUAGUGAAACCUGCCGGUUUAGAAAAGUUCAUGAGAUAUUUUAUUCUGAUUUUUUGAUGUACUUUGGACCCUCAUUUACAGAUGUGAUGAAGCAAGUACAUGUUAUCAUCUUCAAACAUUAUAGCAUUCUAUGGAUGCAGUUCAUUUCUUUAGUGAAACAUGUUGGUUUGAAAAAGUUUAUGCAGCAUUUUCUUCCACUUUGUUGACAUACUUUGGACCCUCAUUUGCAGAUGUGAUGAAGCAAACACUUUCUUAUUAUAUGAUAGCACUUCAACAAGUGUGAUGAAGCAAGUACGUGGAGGAACUUAUUGGCAUCCUCAAGGGUGUUUCAGGAGGUCACAUGAUAAUUAUUGAACCGAGUAAAUUGUAACAACAGAGGAUGAAUUCUGAGACCGGACACAAGUGUCACUGCAGAGAGGCUAUUAACCUGCUGCAGUUUGUUUGCAGAGGGACGAUCGGUUUAAUCAUGAAUUUUAUCAUGUUGUAACCUUACAAUUUCCCUGUACAAUCUGCAGGUCAAUCCAGCCACAUGAUCUGAUGAAGGCUCUCUCUUUCUCUCUCUCUGUACACCGAUUCAGCAGGGUUGGUUGGUUUUACGUAGCUUAUAAUUCUAUUUUGAAUCAGUUGUAAGAUUGAAACGUAGCUUAUAAUUCAGUAGGGUUGGUUGGUUUUACGUAGCUUA